GACGAACGCUGGCGGCGUGCUUAACACAUGCAAGUCGAACGGAAAGGCCCUGCUUGCAGGGUACUCGAGUGGCGAACGGGUGAGUAACACGUGGGUGAUCUGCCCUGCACUUCGGGAUAAGCCUGGGAAACUGGGUCUAAUACCGGAUAUGACCUUCCAUGUAGUGUGGGGGGUGGAAAGAUUUAUCGGUGUGGGAUGAGCCCGCGGCCUAUCAGCUUGUUGGUGGGGUAAUGGCCUACCAAGGCGUCGACGGGUAGCCGGCCUGAGAGGGUGGACGGCCACAUUGGGACUGAGAUACGGCCCGGACUCCUACGGGAGGCAGCAGUGGGGAAUAGUGCACGAUGGGCGGAAGCCGGAUGCAGCGACGCCGCGUGGGGGAUAACGGCCUUCGGGUUGUAAACCUCUUUCGACAGGGACGAAGCUUCGGUGACGGUACCUGUAUAAGAAGCACCGGCUAACUACGUG
rnacentral:rRNA from 1 species